rnacentral:misc_RNA from 1 species
ACAGUUUCUGUGUGGUGGUAGAGGA